ACGUUAUUUGGCAGAGAUGCGUGUGCUACAGCUAGGAGCAUCUACUUCCUAAGGAUGUGUGCAACUCGCUGGAAGCUGUACAACCUUCAGACAGUCAGCAACAAGACGACGAGCCCUUCAGCAGUUGGCCUGAUGCCUUGAGGAAUACAGUGUGCAGACAAGAACAUAUCACAGUCAUAAUGAAAGAGCUUUUUGAAGUUAAGUAGACAUGGAGAAAGGAGAACCAGGAGCAAGACACCGGAAAUGAGCUUAAGGAUGAGAUUAUUACUGUGAUAGAGAACGCCGUGACUGCUUGAGAUCAGGGAUUAAGGGCCAUGACAACAGUACUGGAAGAAACCUGCUAUCAAAAUAACAGAGAUGUUCCAUUUGCAAAAUGUGCUGUCUCUUAAAGCUGGGAUGCAGAGACACAACGGGAGAUUGUUCAAGUACAACCUCUGUGAACCCUAGACAGAAGAUUCUCCAGAGAAUUCUGGUGCACAGCACUGAAAACUUGAAAGUAUUAAAAAUUCCAAUUCUCCCCACUGUUCUUUAAAAAAUUGAAUGAUAAAAAGCAGUACAGUCUCACUAACUGGACAAAUACCCAUUUUUCCAUUGCAGACUGACCACUGUCAGAGUCGCUUUAAAUCCUCCCACUCUCGUCUCACUGCUACAUAAGUGUUUCUCGGUCUGAUAAGCUCCUGUGGAUUUCCUGCUUAUCAUCACCAUCAGCAUCAUCAUCAUCAGCUGGAUCAUUUUCCUCUCCAGACUCCACAUAUAUGGGCCAAUCAUUAUCUGUAUCACCCUUCUCUUGGCCUUCUGAGGAAGGUUCCAUUAGGCUGAGGUUAAUGGGCAUUGAGUCCUCAUGUGUAGUGGUCACACACGUGCAGCUGUCACACAGGCCAAAGCGUCGUAAUCCUUGAGACAUGCUACUCGUGAACGUUCUUCUGCAACCUUUGCAGAUAAUUGGCUUGUUUGAUCGAUGCACCUAAAGUUAAAAAUAAAAUGUCACGGUAAAAACUCAA